ensembl:lncRNA
AGAAAAGGGGACCUUAGUGGGAAUGAAUGGAGACAGAGUACAAAUGAAACAGCUAUGGAAAUUUCAGGCGACAAAAUGCAGUGAGGGGAUGUGGAUGGCAUUCUUCUUGGAAAGCCUUUUUGUAGAGUACCCUACUGGGGCCCAAGACAAAGGAAAGAAGAAUUCAGUAUGAUACAACUGAACUGAUGAGAACUUUUCUUCCCUCAUUCUGCUCAGGCCUGGCACCUGAGCAACCAACCUGAGAUAGGUCAUUCUGAAGAACCACAGGGAGAACCCUGCCACCAG